rnacentral:rRNA from 1 species
GACGAACGCUGGCGGCGUGCUUAACACAUGCAAGUCGAGCGGAGCGGCGAACGGGUGAGUAACGCGUGAGUAACUGCCCCCCUCUCUGGGAUAACAGUUGGAAACGGCUGCUAAUACCGGAUAGUGGGGGAUGACUCGCGUCCUAUCAGCUUGUUGGUGGGGUAGUGGCCUACCAAGGCGACGACGGGUAGCCGGCCUGAGCGGGCGACCGGCCACAUUGGGCUGGGGUACCGCCCCAAAUCCUUGCGGGGGCAGGCGGGGGGGAUUUUGCCCAAUGGGGGAAACUCUGAUGCAGGAACCCGCGGGCGGGAUGACGGCCUUCGGGUUGUAAACCGCUUUCAGCCAAGACGCGGGAGUGGCAGAAGAAGCACCGGCUAACUACGUGCCAGCAGCCGCGGUAAUUC